rnacentral:lncRNA from 1 species
AGGCUAUAAAAAAUAUAUUUUAGGGUAUUUUGGCUCCAUUUUCUCUUCGAUUUUUGCUUGAAAAAUAAGAAAAAAUAUGUAUUAAAUUUUUCAAAAAUUUUUUAUUAUUUUGAUCCUUAAAUUGCUCAAUUAAAUCAACAUCUAUUUUCUAUAAAUAUGCUCUAAUUUUAUAUUUUUUAAAAUUAUUUAUUUUUACAAAAAAAUC